rnacentral:rRNA from 1 species
CCUACGGGCGGCAGCAGUGAGGAAUAUUGGUCAAUGGGCGGAAGCCUGAACCAGCCAAGUAGCGUGCAGGAUGACGGCCCUACGGGUUGUAAACUGCUUUUAUACGGGAAUAACGCGCCUUACGUGUAGGGCUUUGCAUGUACCGUAUGAAUAAGGAACGGCUAAUUCAGGGCCAGCCGCCGAGGUAAUACGGAAGGUACGGGCGUUAUCCGGAUUUAUUGGGCUUAAAGGGAACGUAGGCCGCAUGUCAAGCGUACUGUGAAAUGUCCGGGCUCAACCCGGGCCUUGCAGCGCGAACUGGCGUGCUUGAGUCCGCGGAAGGCAGGCGGAAUUCGUCGUGUAGCGGUGAAAUGCGUAGAUAUGACGAAGAACCCCGAUGGCGAAGGCAGCUUGCUGCAGCGGAACUGACGCUGAUGCGCGAAAGCGCGGGUAGCGAACAGGAUUAGAUACCCGAGUAGUC